UACCCCGGGUAGCUAUACUUGCACCUGUGACAUUGGCUACACAGGAAAUGGAUCAUAUUGUCAAGAUAUAGAUGAGUGUAAAACGACUGGCAAGAUCUGUACUCAGAACGCAAGUUGUGUCAACACACUGGGAAGUUAUGUAUGCACAUGUGACACUGGAUAUACUGGUAAUGAAUCUCACUGUCAAGAAGUUGACUGUGGACCACCUCCAAGUAAUGUCACAGCUGGUACGCUCUCAAUCC